GGAGCUGGACUCUCCGUGAGAUCGGCUGUGCUGCGGGGCUGCUCGCUGUCUCUGCAGGGGCAGGUUACUGCGUUUACCGCUACUUGCAGGGACAAAGCGCUGCUGCUGACCACACUCAGCCAGCUCACGACUCUGCAGAUGUGCUGGGAGGAUCACUUGAUACUCCCUCUAUCCUCCAGGUAUUUGUCAGAUAAAUAGUCAGAUUUUAACUAAAUUUAAACAUAUAGGCUGCUACUAAUUGUGUGUGUGUGUGUGUGAGUGUGUGUGUGUGUGUGUGAAGGUCAUUGAGCCGGAAAUGCUGCCUCUUCCCACCACGUCUUACCGUGACACUUCAGCUGUCAGUCUGCCUCCCAAUGCUGGUGAGCUGAACAGAGCCUGGUGCGAUGAUCAGGUUCAGUCUCCAGACUCCUUCAGCUCCCAGUCUGAG